rnacentral:sRNA from 1 species
CGUUGGUGAACCAGCGGAGGGAUCAUUACCGAGUUUUCAACUCCCAAACCCCAUGUGAACUUAUACCAUUUACACCGUUGCUUCGGCGGGUUCUCGCCCCGGGCUUUACAACCCCGGAACCAGGCGGCCCGCCGGGGGACCCAAACUCUAGAUUUUAUUUUAGCAUGUCUGAGUGGAAUCAUUACAAAAUGAAUCAAAACUUUCAACAACGGAUCUCUUGGUUCUGGCAUCGAUGAAGAACGCAGCGAAAUGCGAUAAGUAAUGUGAAUUGCAGAAUUCAGUGAAUCAUCGAAUCUUUGAACGCACAUUGCGCCCGCCAGUAUUCUGGCGGGCAUGCCUGUUCGAGCGUCAUUUCAACCCUCAAGCCCCAGCGGUUUGGUGUUGGGGACCGGCGAGUACGGAGGCGGGGGGGACUUGUCCCCUCUUCCCUCGGCGCCGCCCCCGAAAUGAAUUGGCGGUCUCGUCGCGGCCUCCUCUGCGUAGUAGCACAACCUCGCAUCAGGAGCGCGGCGCGGCCACUGCCGUAAAACGCCCAACUUUUUUAAGAGUUGACCUCGAAUCAGGUAGGAAUACCCGCUGAACUUAAGCAUAUCAAUAAGCGGAGGAAAAGAAACCAACAGGGAUUGCCCCAGUAACGGCGAGUGAAGCGGCAACAGCUCAAAUUUGAAAUCUGGCCCCUAGGGCCCGAGUUGUAAUUUGCAGAGGAUGCUUUUGGCGAGGUGCCUUCCGAGUUCCCUGGAACGGGACGCCAUAGAGGGUGAGAGCCCCGUCUGGUUGGAUGCCGAGCCUCUGUAAAGCUCCUUCGACGAGUCGAGUAGUUUGGGAAUGCUGCUCUAAAUGGGAGGUAUAUGUCUUCUAAAGCUAAAUACCGGCCAGAGACCGAUAGCGCACAAGUAGAGUGAUCGAAAGAUGAAAAGCACUUUGAAAAGAGGGUUAAAUAGUACGUGAAAUUGUUGAAAGGGAAGCACUUAUGACCAGACUUGGACCCGGUGAAUCAUCCAGCGUUCUCGCUGGUGCACUUUGCCGGGCUCAGGCCAGCAUCAGUUUGCCCCGGGGGAUAAAGGCUUUGGGAAUGUGGCUCCCUCGGGAGUGUUAUAGCCCAUUGCACAAUACCCUGGGGCGGACUGAGGUUCGCGCAUCUGCAAGGAUGCUGG